CUUCAGGGUGCUCUGAAUUUUGGAUAGCAACAGCCUCCUAUGCAGUUCAGUCCAAGCAAACAAACAAUUGGAGCUGCACGCAUGUCCCAAAAGCCCGUCAAGACAAUCAAACCUGCCUCCAGGACCUCGAUCUCAACCGGUAACAACAGACCCGACAAAUCCUGCAUCAACGGGACCCAUGGGUUUUGAUCUGCAGCGCUCAAAGUCCGCCGUCGUCGUCUCAAUCCUCGUAGAGUCGAAGUCAUAGAAGAAUCAAACAGCGCGCCGCUCCUCUCUCGGAUCUAGGCGAGGCGAGCUGCGGCGCCGGGGGGUCGCGGGAGGGACGAGGAUGAACUGGAUCGGGCGCAAGAUCCACCUCUACAAUGUCACCAUCGGCCUCUACAUGCUCGAUUGGUGGGAGCGCUACCUCUUCAGUAUCCUUCUCCCGAUUGCUUCUCUGGCGGUCGUGCCCCCUAUCCUCCUGAAAUCAGUUGGUUAAUUCAGCGCCGGGCUCAGUCCCGUUGUCUUUUUUUUACUGGUUUUGCUUUGCUAGAUGUGAGCAAGCUGUGAGGAUUGGGAUGUAUCGAAUCUAUAUAUUGUCACUGUCAGUGCACAUUCCCUUAACGCCCCUUUGAACCGCGGCAAUUUCUCAUCUUUAGGUUAUAGUUGCCAGCCAGUAUGCAGGCCCUCCUUUGAGCAAUUUUGUACCGAUAAAAUUCUAUCUCCAGCAGCUUACUCAUACUCAUAUUUUAUUUCAAACUCCACAAUAUAAAUAGUGCUGUCAAAACUAAUAAGCCAGAUAUUAUGAAUUUUCUUGCAAUUUUUUCUAUUAGCUAGUGAGUUCAGGAAAUUAGAAUUACCCUGCAGUCUGCAGAUAUUGGAUUUGUCUGCCAAUCAUAUGCACCAUGCUUCCUUAUUCUGCAUAAUGCAGACUUAAAAGUGAUUCAAAGCUCUACUUUAUUUGUCCUUCGGGAAAUGAAGGGUAAACAUACCAUAGCACCAUCUCCAUCUGCAAGUCUUCCUCGUGCCUCUGAGUCUCGCUAACUCUGUCUUGAUCAUGGUGUUCAGCAUGCAACCGUGGUUAUUCUGCUCCAGUGGUUUCUAUGCUCCAUGUUCUUCCUGGUCAUUUUGAACUUGCAAUGCCAGGUUCUACAAAUGCUAGUGUCCAUGUCCCAUCAUUUGCAACUUUACCUCCACAGUGCACAGACAGUUUUGGAGAACAAGAUAAUGGUAUUUACAGUGCCCCUACCCUACUUCGUCGACCCUGAAACUGUUCAAGAAACUCUACAGCCUUUUAUUUAUAAUCUGAAGACUCUUUUUCAAGAGGGGAACUAUCUUGGGCAAGGCAGUACAUAACCAUUGUAAAAACAAGAUCAGAUUAUGAUCAUUUGCCCAUGUAAUUCCAUCUCUUUUAACUAGUUGUUGACUGAGCAGCUGAGAAGAACUAAUUUGAGCAAGCGUUACCGUGUAGCCGUUGUCUGUAUCUUCCCCAGGAAAGCUAAUAGCCUCUAGUGUUUCUUCUAAUGGAGGAGGGGGGAAAAACUGAUGUUGUGCAACAUUAACUCUUUGUUGGUUGUUAACAAACCACAAAUCUAUUAGGAGUCGGUCGGUUAUCUAGGAACUGUCCCAGGAAUGAUUGAUUCCCAGCCGUAAUGAUUGUCUAAUUCUUAUAACAACUGGUCACCCAGAAUAGUUUAUAGCCUUGUUCCAGCAUAACUGAUCUGUUGUGCUCUGCAUUAGUACCACAUCCACUCUGUCCCGUAUUGGUGCGGCAUGCAUGCAUCAUCUGGUCAUCCACUCCUGAUUUUUUUUAACCCAUCAAAUCUGUAAGAAAUUUGCUUUGGAUUGGAAUUCAAUGGUAAGGAAAUUGUUACCGUCCUCCAGCACAGGAAACGGUGAAAUCCGGUACUGGUUAGUGGUUCGACGUCCCGUAGUGGAGCAGGUUGCUGCAAGGUCCUUAUCCUCCGUGGAAGCAGCGAGGCCUUUCCUGGCCUCUCCUAGCAUCUUCCACCACACAUUGACACAAGGCCGGCCUCGCUCUCUGACGUCCGAACGUCUAACAGCUCCUGUCGCGGCGUCGUCCUCGCUUGACCACUGGUAGACAAUCCAGAGCCCAGGCAUGUACGUCACUUCGUUCCCAAGCGUCAAGCAAUCGCCGCUGGUGCCGAUUGCCGAAGCAAGCAAUCCGCGGUGCUUGUCGUCGCGAUCGUCACUCUGGAUUGGGCCCGCCUAUACGUCUCCUUGUAUCGGUCGGUGCUCAUCGUUUCUUCUAGCAUCGCACGCGCCGCAGCCCGCACGGCACGCGGAGCGUUAGGUUUAAGCUGUUGACGUCGUUGUCAGCCUUGCAGUCAGACAGAGAAUAGGAGCUAGCUGAGGAAGGGGCGGUAGCGGGAGCAGGUUCGGCCAUGUUCGAGAUUGUGAUAUCCAUCCCAGAGAUCCUCCUGCUGGUCCUCCUGGCGCUCGGGUGCUACCUGCUCGGCAGGAAAAGGGGCCGCGCCGAGGCGGCCGCGGCGCCGCAGCAGUUCGCGCCGCCGGCACCUCCUCCAGGGCUCUCGCCCAAGUAGCAGAGCGGGUGGUCUUCGUUGUACAUGUUCGUUCUCCAGUCUCCACUUGAUACCCACACUACUCUGUUACUGUUAGCUCAUUGUAUUUGUGCGCGCUUUUUUUUUAUCUCUCCCUCUCUCUCUCUCCUUGCUUGUAGUACUCUGCUGUUCUGUUGCAUGAUGUUCAUGCGAAUAAUUAGGUUUGCUGUCCGACUGAUUAGAAUUUUCUAUGGAUGAGAUUGUAUUUGUGGCAAUAAGUUCGAUUUUCAUUGAAUUUUGGCCAUGUU